UGUGUGAAGAAGGCCUUCGGGUUGUAAAGCACUUUCAGUUGUGAGGAAAAGUUAGUAGUUAAUACCUGCUAGCCGUGACGUUAACAACAGAAGAAGCACCGGCUAACUCCGUGCCAGCAGCCGCGGUAAUACGGAGGGUGCGAGCGUUAAUCGGAAUUACUGGGCGUAAAGCGCACGCAGGCGGUUUGUUAAGCUAGAUGUGAAAGCCCCGGGCUCAACCUGGGAUGGUCAUUUAGAACUGGCAGACUAGAGUCUUGGAGAGGGGAGUGGAAUUCCAGGUGUAGCGGUGAAAUGCGUAGAUAUCUGGAGGAACAUCAGUGGCGAAGGCGACUCCCUGGCCAAAGACUGACGCUCAUGUGCGAAAGUGUGGGUAGCGAACAGGAUUAGAUACCCUGGUAGUCCACACCGUAAACGCUGUCUACUAGCUGUGUGUGUCUUUAAGACGUGCGUAGCGAAGCUAACGCGCUAAGUAGACCGCCUGGGGAGUACGGCCGCAAGGUUAAAACUCAAAUGAAUUGACGGGGGCCCGCACAAGCGGUGGAGCAUGUGGUUUAAUUCGAUGCAACGCGAAGAACCUUACCUACACUUGACAUGCUGAGAAGUUACUAGAGAUAGUUUCGUGCCUUCGGGAACUCAGACACAGGUGCUGCAUGGCUGUCGUCAGCUCGUGUCGUGAGAUGUUGGGUUAAGUCCCGCAACGAGCGCAACCCUUGUCCUUAGUUGCCAGCCUUAAGUUGGGC
rnacentral:rRNA from 1 species